rnacentral:rRNA from 1 species
GGGGGGGGGGGGGGGGGGGCGGGUGCGUGCGAGUGGAGCGAAGAGACGGGGAGCUUGCUCCUCUGACGUUAGCGGCGGACGGGUGAGUAACACGUGGAUAACCUACCUAUAAGACUGGGAUAACUUCGGGAAACCGGAGCUAAUACCGGAUAAUAUAUUGAACCGCAUGGUUCAAUAGUGAAAGACGGUUUUGCUGUCACUUAUAGAUGGAUCCGCGCCGCAUUAGCUAGUUGGUAAGGUAACGGCUUACCAAGGCAACGAUGCGUAGCCGACCUGAGAGGGUGAUCGGCCACACUGGAACUGAGACACGGUCCAGACUCCUACGGGAGGCAGCAGUAGGGAAUCUUCCGCAAUGGGCGAAAGCCUGACGGAGCAACGCCGCGUGAGUGAUGAAGGUCUUCGGAUCGUAAAACUCUGUUAUUAGGGAAGAACAAAUGUGUAAGUAACUAUGCACGUCUUGACGGUACCUAAUCAGAAAGCCACGGCUAACUACGUG